CGGCGAGCGAAGCGGGAAGAGCUCAAAUUUAUAAUCUGGCACCUUCGGUGUCCGAGUUGUAAUCUCUAGAAAUGUUUUCCGCGUUGGACCGCACACAAGUCUGUUGGAAUACAGCGGCAUAGUGGUGAGACCCCCGUAUAUGGUGCGGACGCCCAGCGCUUUGUGAUACAUUUUCGAAGAGUCGAGUUGUUUGGGAAUGCAGCUCAAAUUGGGUGGUAAAUUCCAUCUAAAGCUAAAUAUUGGCGAGAGACCGAUAGCGAACAAGUACCGUGAGGGAAAGAUGAAAAGCACUUUGGAAAGAGAGUUAACAGUACGUGAAAUUGUUGGAAGGGAAACGCUUGAAGUCAGACUUGCUUGCCGAGCAAUCGGUUUGCAGGCCAGCAUCAGUUUUCCGGGAUGGAUAAUGGUAGAGAGAAGGUAGCAGUUUCGGCUGUGUUAUAGCUCUCUGCUGGAUACAUCUUGGGGGACUGAGGAACGCAGUGUGCCUUUGGCGGGGGUUUCGACCUCUUCACACUUAGGAUGCUGGUGGAAUGGCUUUAAACGACCCGUCUUG
rnacentral:rRNA from 1 species